rnacentral:tRNA from 1 species
UGGUCGGCGGAGCGCCGGAAAAGGACUCAUAAUCCGUUGGUCGCGGGUUCGAGCCCCGCCCGCCCCACCA